UGAGCGAAGAGAUGAGGCUACUGAUUAUCUUCUGUGUCGAUGUGGCUGGUUCCAUCCUGCUUAGCAUCGGUGGCUACAGCUGCAUGAAGUGCAUUUCACGCUGCAAUAAAAGGAAAAAGGAAAUUACGAACAAUCAUGGAGGAGCACGUACUGAGGUUAUAUAUUCACAGAAAAAGCAGAAGGAGUCUGAGGAACACCCGACACCUCCAGUCCUAGAAGGUGAAGUCUACGUCAAAUGCAUCUAUGCUAAGGGCCGGGGGGGCCACCAAGGCCAGUGCCUAUACACCCCUACAAGGUUGGCAGAGUACGGCUGUUAAGGGUAUCAUCUCCAAACAACUGAAGGAAGCGGCCGGCAAAUAUAGCAACUUCUGUCAACACAUCUCAUCUACUGGAAGAAGAAACUACACUUUAGUCACCUAACACAUAAUUGAAUUUGGCCAUACAGCACAACACCUAUUUGAAUUCAAUUGUUAGUUCAGAAAACUCACUAGAAAAAAAAUGGAGAGUGAUCCAUUUGAUUCUGCAAAAUAAUAAGUCCUUAGGCUAUAUAUAAGCAUCACAUAGUCAAUAAGUAGCUGGGACAAAGACGAAGACUUGGAGGACGCGCACUGAGGAAUCAACGAAUCAAUAGAAAUUGAGACUUUGAAACACUAGGUGCUGCAUGACCUUCGUUAUCAACUGUGUAAUUCAUGUAAUUUCCAUGUUUGUAAAGGUUCAUAUUAGCUUGCUAAAUAUACAUUAUCACCAAAAACAGCAUAUUCUGCAUUGAAUAUAGGUCUUAAACCUAUGAGUGAUUGGUUAUAUAUUAUCUGUGUGACAAAAGUAUAAUUAAUAUAGUUUAAAGUUUAUUUCAUUUUAGU